rnacentral:rRNA from 1 species
GACGAACGCUGGCGGCGUGCUUAACACAUGCAAGUCGAGCGGAAAGGCCCUUCGGGGUACUCGAGCGGCGAACGGGUGAGUAACACGUGAGUAAUCUGCCCUUCACUCUGGGAUAGCCACCGGAAACGGUGAUUAAUACCGGAUACGACCACCGUGGGCAUCCGCUGGUGGUGGAAACUUUUUUUGGGUGGGGGAUGUGCUCGCGGCCUAUCAGCUUGUUGGUGGGGUAAUGGCCUACCAAGGCUUCGACGGGUAGCCGGCCUGAGAGGGUGACCGGCCACACUGGGACUGAGACACGGCCCAGACUCCUACGGGAGGCAGCAGUGGGGAAUAUUGGACAAUGGGCGGAAGCCUGAUCCAGCAACGCCGCGUGAGGGAUGACGGCCUUCGGGUUGUAAACCUCUUUCAGCACCGACGAAGCGCAAGUGACGGUAGGUGCGGAAGAAGGACCGGCCAACUACGUGCCAGCCGCCGCCGUAACAC